CUUAUUAUUUGUUUAUGUUGAGUCUUAUAAAAUUGAGUAAAAAUUACUUUGUAAUAAAAAUACGAACAUCGUUAACUUAUUAAAUGUAACAGUUUAAGGGUUAAGCUUGCUAAGCACAGAGUUGGAAGUUCUUAUUUUUAGUAAUAAAACCAAAAGUAAUAAAUUAGAAUUUGCCGAUUUGAUGAUGUGAAUUUACCACUACUGGGUGUUUGCGUUGUAAAUUGAGGUGGCUCUGCCUACCUUUUACUAGUACCGUAGAGCGUAUAAUGAAUCAGUCUUUGCGUGUCACAAAUAUUAAAUUAGUAUGCAAUAUGUAAUUACAACAAAGUAUAUAAAAAUGACUAAGGAAAUUAUACACUAAGGCAUCGCUAAAUUGGUGCUUGAGCUGUCAUGUUCCGUAUUCAGUAUAAAAACUGUUUAAGAUGGCUUUUGUUUUUGCAUCAUUUUAAAUUAAAUUUGCUAUGCCAUUUGAAAAAUAUAAAAUGAGUUACCAUUAAAUUUAAUUAGUGGGUAAUACAUACGACGUUUACCAAUGCUUUGUGUUUACUUUAAGAUUGAUUUCUGAUUUAUAAAGUCCUUUUUAUAGGUAAAACGCGCCUUUUACACGCGAUAAUAAAAAAGCAACAAACGAAAUCCCUCCGUGGCCAGCCCAAUAUUACAACCCAUGCAACCCUCAUACGCUGAUACUGCUUUUGUUAACGGACAUGACCGUUUGACCUAAUUUUGGAGCUGGUUGCGUCGCCGCGAUAGGAAGAAUAAGAGAGUUAGACUCGAGUAAUGAGUAAAUUCAAAUGCAGAGCAAGUAAUUUCAACGAGCAAAAAGCACGAAACGAGCACGGGUUAAAUUAAAGUAUUCAUAGAACAGGCGGAUGGUUGGAAUGUUGAUGCCAAAACUCAGAUAACUCACAAAACAAGGUACAUAAUGAAAAUACAAAAACUUCCCCCAGUAAGAAACAAAGGACGUACGUUUUAAUUUAAAAAAAAAACGUAAUAUUUUAAAAUAUGGCAUUGUAUAUAUUGUAGUUUAGAUUAUACAAACAUAUGUUCAUGUAAGAAGAAGGCUAAUGUUCAAAAUAUACUGUUUACUUUAUUUGUUUGUAAUAAAAGAGAUCAUUGUUAAUGAGUUUUAAGAAAUGAA